UGACUCUAGGUCAAAUACUUUUGGAGCUACGCACGACACAACAUUAAAAUGACCCAUUUUUAACUAAGUCAGUGGCUAUAACUCCUACACGACUGAAUGAAUCUGGACGCGAAACCCCAGGUGCACAACUGCAUAUGCUGACCAACAUUCCUGUAAACUUUUGUGAUUCUAGGUCAAAUAUUUUUGGAGCUACGCGCGACAAAACAUUAAAAUGACUCAUUUUUUACUAAGUCAGGGGCCAAAACUCCUACAUGUCUGGAUGAAUCCGGACGCGAAACCCCAGGUGCACAACUGCACAUGCUGACCAACAUUCCUGUAAACUUUUGUGAUUCUAGGUCAAAUAUUUUUGGAGCUAUGCACGACAAAACAUUAAAAUGACUCAUUUUUUACUAAGUCAGGGGCCAAAACUCCUACAUGACUGGAUGAAUCCGGACGCGAAACCCCAGGUGCACAACUGCACAUGCUGACCAACAUUCCUGUAAACUUUUGUGAUUCUAGGUCAAAUAUUUUUGGAGCUAUGCACGACAAAACAUUAAAAUGACUCAUUUUUUACUAAGUCAGGGGCCAAAACUCCUACAUGACUGGAUGAAUCCGGACGCGAAUCCCCAGGUGCACAACUGCACAUGCUGACCAACAUUCCUGUAAACAUUGGUGACUCUAGGUCAAAUACUUUUGGAGCUAUGCGCGACACAACAUUAAAAUGACCAAUCUUUUACUAAGUCAGGGGCCAUAACUCCUACAUGACUGGAUGAAUCUGGACGCAAAACCCCAGGUGCACAACUACACAUACUGACCAACAUGCCGGUAAAGUUUUGUGACUCUAGGUCAUAUACUUUUGGAGCUAGGCGCGACACAACGCUAAAAUGACCAAUUUUUACAAAGUCAGGGGCCAUAACUUCUACAUGACUGAAUGAAUCCGAACGCGAAACCCCAGGUGCACAACUACACAUGCUGACAAACAUUCCUGUAAAGUUUUGUGACUCUACGUCAAAUACUUUCAGAGCUACGCGUGACACAACAUUUUCGGACGGACGGACGGACGGACAAGGACAAAUCUAUAUGCAUCCCCCCAAAGUGGGGGCAUAAAUAACCAGAAAUCAGUUUUAUAACAUCUUUAUUGGGUGUAACACCCAUGCAUUUGUUUGCAGUUUAGUUUCAAUUCAUCAUUUAAGUUAUUUUGCUUCUAAGUUCUUUUUUUUUCCUUGGCUUGCUUUGGCUUCACACUUGCUACCAAAUAAAAUAGAAUAUUCAAUAUACCUUUAGGUUUAUAUUAUGGGGAUCAGUUUUGUUGGUUUAAAGAAUGCAUAGAGUGUUUGUUCACUUUUUUUAUACAUUCUUAGAAAGAGACAUUUUUGUUUAUUCCGCACCAGAAAUUGAUAUUUUAAAUCGACACCCCUUUAAAAUACACUACUGUACCAUCAAUAUUAAUUCCCAACUAUUUGAUAUACACAGACAUCGAGAGUAAAAAAUAGUUUAACAUAGGUUUAUAGAGUACCAUUCAAUGCGUGUGUAUGUUCAAUGUGGGAUAAUUAUUAUGCCGACUGUGCUCAUGUUACAUAAAGCAUCCGGACGAUUCAGAUUUUGUUUACGCUAAUAAAAAGUCAUUGCGUGCGUUUCUAUGUUUUCAUAUAGAUCUACGUUUUAUAUGCUUAAAAAUUAUUAGACAUGUGUAUUCACGAUAUCGACAUUAUGGAUAAAAUCCCGUUUCCCGGUAUUAACCACUAAUAAACGCCCGUUCCCGUUUUCACGGCGAGGGGGGUAUCGGCCAUUACGCUACAUGGCGGUAGUGUUUAGAUUAUCGUUUUUAAAAUUUUAAACAAAGAAAAUUAAUAAAAAAGUAUUGCAGAUUAUCAUUAAACAUUGUUGUAAUUAAGGUGUAGCAAAAAUAUCCCCAAAGUUUACUUUAUUUUUGAAAUUUUAUCUUUUAUUCUACUCUGCCGCUGCCGUGGCUCGAUACCGAAGGUGUGAAAUUAUUUGCAUUUUUCAAGGUAAACAGAUUACUUUUGCCAAAAAAAAUGUUGCCGAAGUCGUAGAAUAGUAUUUCCAUUGUGAGAAAGUAAGAACUUUCAUAAAUUCUUAUCUUCUGGCAAAAAUAAUUGCUAAUAUUGUACACGGUCUUUAUAUUUAUAAUAUCAGCAGACCCCUGGCCCUAUGUACGGAAAUACCGGAAAACGGGAUAUAUCCUUAAUGUCGAUAUGGUCAAUAUGCAUUAUUUCAAACUCAAAGCGUAAUUUACGCUAAUACACAUCUUAUCUUGAGCCCUGUAAACAAUUUUACUUACGAAAUAUUGAUUAAAAGAUGGGUAGAUAUAUUAAGCCGGUAAUAGUGAAACAUAUGGUCAAACUAAAUCCAACAUGAGAUAUUUAGUAUGGAAUGAGUAGAGAUACACAAGAUAACACACAGAAAAAAUGUCCUCAAAAUAUCACUACAGGAUACUGAGAUAUCACGUCAUAUUUAUUGGGGGAAAAAGUAUUUUUCAAUGUCCGUUAUCAUGCACCGUGUGCUUUUUUUUCUCUACUUCCGGUAAGAAGUAAACAUCGCAUUUCCCUGUCAAAUUGUUUGAAACACACUCUGUUCGAAGAAUACUGGUUAUUGUCAAGUGAAUCGUGUAUGUGCUGAGGAGAAUUGUGUUAUUUGCGACAUGAAAGACGAACGUAAAAUAGCAACAUUGGGUGAAAAAAUGUGUGGAUAGUUAAUUUCUGCAGCCAGAAAUAAAAGAGAACAAAUGUAUGUUAGACCUGAGAAAAUUGUGUGCUAUGAGUGUAGAAAAAUUACUGCUACCCGAAUCUACUUGGAGAUGCAAACGUACCUCUAUAGCGUAGCGAAACGGACACAUUGAUCUGACUUCUUUUCAUUUCAAAUGCCUGUUCUGAGGUACAGAUUUCAAACAAAAUGACAAAAAGGCAUAUGAUGAUUUCCAAAUUUCAGUCAACAAUAAAGAAAUAUUGGAAGAGAAAUCUUCCGUUGUCUCUAAUCCGUACAUGAUCUAGCAGCAGUUGGUGCAAGAUAUCAUCAAAAAUGUAGCACACAUUUCAGAACAGGAUGUCAAGUUCCGACUCGACAUCAAACACCUCAAAAUACUGUAAAACAUAGUAAAGUUAGACCAACAAAAGAAUCAUCUGAAGAGGCAUUUUUGAAAACCAUGCAUUAUUUUGAAAACACUGAAAGUGAGCAAAUAGUUUAAAUUAUUAAAUGAUCCCAGGCAGAGUCUUUGUAAAUAAACACUCUUAACAUGAUGACAUUGAAACAGCUGGUAGUAUAUCAUUCAUAAUUAUGUGUACAAAGGUAAAACAAAUGAAACAUUAAACACAUUUAGGUACAGAAAAUUCAUUACGAAGGCAACAAGCAUAUCGGUAGUAAAGAUACAGAGCCUAACUCCUACAGAGGCAACUGCAAAGUUUCGUAGUUUUAGAGUGCACUGCCAUUAAAAUAGAGACAUGAAAUGGAAAGGAAACGAACCCUCUUGACUUGGGAUGGUACAAACGUGUUGAUAAACUUAGAGGUUGCUCUACUGGGAUGACUGUAGAUGUCAUGACAUUAACACUUAACUGACUUUCAUAAUCUUGAGAGAGCAAUGAAAAGUUUUUCGAACAUACUAGCUUUAUAAUAGAGCAUAUUCUUACAGUAUAUCGCAUCGCAGAGUUUUGUUCUCACAUUUUUGUACAUUACGGCUUUGUGUACAUUUGCUGUUAGCUGAAAAUUGUAAUUAUGUGUCGAUUUUAAAACAGUUUUAACAUUUUACUGUAGUGACCUGUUCUAUAUAUACUGUUGAUCUAGGAUUCUUUUCCUAAAUGUUUCUUAAUAAUUUUUUUAUUAUUAUACUGUUGUUAUUAUAACAUUUAUUACAUUUAGUGCGAGUUUUAAGGAAAUAGUUUAAAGAUAUUGUAUGCACGUUUCAUUGAUGGGUGGACCCGCCCGCUUAGCUCAUUGGGAAGAGCACCGAUCUACGGAUCGCGGGGUCGUGAGUUGGAUCCUCGGGCGGGCCGUAUGUUCUCCAUGACGACUUGAUAAUUUUUUUUUUUUUUUUGAGGUCCCUAAUUAACCUUACACACAACAUAUUACAACAUAUACAUAUUAUAAUAUUGUACUUAUUUUAAACAUCAAUAUUUUCAUAUAACAAUACUAUUAC